rnacentral:rRNA from 1 species
ACUCCUACGGGAGGCUGCAGUGGGGAAUAUUGCACAAUGGGCGAAAGCCUGAUGCAGCAACGCCGCGUGAGGGACGACGGCCUUCGGGUUGUAAACCUCUUUUAGUAGGGAAGAAGCGUAAAAGUGACGGUACCUGCAGAAAAAGCACCGGCUAACUACGUGCCAGCAGCCGCGGUAAUACGUAGGGUGCAAGCGUUGUCCGGAAUUAUUGGGCGUAAAGAGCUCGUAGGCGGUUUGUCGCGUCUGCUGUGAAAACCCGAGGCUCAACCUCGGGCCUGCAGUGGGUACGGGCAGACUAGAGUGCGGUAGGGGAGAUUGGAAUUCCUGGUGUAGCGGUGGAAUGCGCAGAUAUCAGGAGGAACACCAAUGGCGAAGGCAGAUCUCUGGGCCGUAACUGACGCUGAGGAGCGAAAGCAUGGGGAGCGAACAGGAUUAGAUACCCUGGUAGUCCAUGCCGUAAACGUUGGGAACUAGAUGUGGGGACCAUUCCACGGUCUCCGUGUCGCAGCUAACGCAUUAAGUUCCCCGCCUGGGGAGUACGGCCGCAAGGCUAAAACUCAAAGGAAUUGACGGGGGCCCGCACAAGCGGCGGAGCAUGCGGAUUAAUUCGAUGCAACGCGAAGAACCUUACCAAGGCUUGACAUAUAGAGGAAACGUCUGGAAACAGUCGCCCCGCAA